rnacentral:rRNA from 1 species
AGUGAACGCUGGCGGUAGGCCUAACACAUGCAAGUCGAACGGCAGCACAGGAGAGCUUGCUCUCUGGGUGGCGAGUGGCGGACGGGUGAGGAAUACAUCGGAAUCUACUUUUUCGUGGGGGAUAACGUAGGGAAACUUACGCUAAUACCGCAUACGACCUACGGGUGAAAGCAGGGGACCUUCGGGCCUUGCGCGAUUGAAUGAGCCGAUGUCGGAUUAGCUAGUUGGCGGGGUAAAGGCCCACCAAGGCGACGAUCCGUAGCUGGUCUGAGGGGAUGAUCAGCCACCCUGGAACUGAGACACGGUCCAGACUCCUACGGGAGGCAGCAGUGGGGAAUAUUGGACAAUGGGCGCAAGCCUGAUCCAGCCAUACCGCGUGGGUGAAGAAGGCCUUCGGGUUGUAAAGCCCUUUUGUUGGGAAAGAAAUCCAGCUGGCUAAUACCCGGUUGGGAUGACGGUACCCAAAGAAUAAGCACCGGCUAACUUCGUGCCAGCCGCCGCGGUAA